rnacentral:rRNA from 1 species
UACGAAGGGGGCUAGCGUUGCUCGGAAUCACGUGGCGUAAAGCGCACGUAGGCGGAUUGUUAAGUCAGGGGUGAAAUCCUGGAGCUCAACUCCAGAACUGCCUUUGAUACUGGCGAUCUUGAGUUCGGGAGAGGUGAGUGGAACUGCGAGUGUAGAGGUGAAAUUCGUAGAUAUUCGCAAGAACACCAGUGGCGAAGGCGGCUCACUGGCCCGAUACUGACGCUGAGGUGCGAAAGCGUGGGGAGCAAACAGG